rnacentral:sRNA from 1 species
CACACACACCACUGCUUAUAUUACAAAAAAACAUUUUGCACUCAACUUUUCUUCAUGUAAAUGGAUUUGAGUCUCUUUCACAAAUGUUCAUUACUGAAUCCUGGCUUGGACACAGGACCUAAUUAAUCAUCUCUUUGGGUCUGCUUUUGUUCUCUGUGUCAGCAACAAAUCCUUUCCCAGAAAAAAAAAAUCCUUCAAGCUUUGCCCUAGGAGUAAGGCACGGGAGAAAAGGAGGGGCCCUAUUCCUGUAGAAGCCCAUUGUUUAUUUAACCCAGUGGCUGAAUUAUAAUCAGGCUUUCAUUGUUUUGUUUUUGAGGCUAAGAAGAGAAUUAAGCUAGUUCUAUUUAGUGGCUUAGAAGGGAGAGGGUCAAGUCUGGGUGUGCAUGAAAACCUCCCUUUCUUUGUUGCUUAGUUUGUGUGUGUGUGUGUGUGUGUGUGUGUGUGUGUGUGUGUGUGUGUGUGUGUGUUUGUGUUAUGUUUGUAUGUGUGGUAUGUAUGUGAAUGAUCAUACUGAGGUCAGGGGUUGAUGUUGGGUUUCUUCCAUGAUACCUACCCACUUUGUCUCUUGAGGGGUAGUAUCUGUUCCUACACCUGGAACUCACCAGUUCUUACCAGUCUAGCUAGCCUACUUGCCCUGUGAUUCCCCCAUCUCUGUCUCUUAAAUGCUGGGAUUAGCGACAACCACCACACCUACCAGGCUUUUUUAUGGAUUCCGGGGAUCCAAACACUGUUGCUUAUGCUUUUAAGGCAAGCAUUGUGUCCACUGAGUGACAUCCCCAACCCUCUAUUUCUUAAAUACACUUUUUGUAGGUAGUAUGAAGAGGAGGGGGAGAGGGAUAUGAAGGAGAAGCUGAGAGAAAAGGAGGAAAGGCAGCUCCAAGUACAAUGCUUUACUCUUUGAAUAUGAGGGUAAUGUUUUCUAGGCUCGUCUGAUAGUCCUUUCUAAGUCUGAAAUCGGCACACACAGAGUACCACGAAGCUUGCAGAAUUCUUCAGUGCUCUCUGUUACUGACAGCUCACAGUGCCUUGCCAUCACCACCCUAAGUAACUCUCCUAUGAGUGAACUCUCCCCACCAUGCUGCAACCCAAGAAGCAUCAUUGAUACUACAGGAAAUGAAAGACAACAUAAGAACCUAGAUCUAUGAUUUGAGCCAUGGAUUCCAGGCGCCAUGUUUAGCCCCUCACAGUGCCUGGAAGGUGGCACGUGGUUGUUGUCAAGUUCAAUAUUCCGUUCUUACUUGUGUCUUCUUGCCUGCUGGUAGUUGUGAACUCCAUUUCCAGGCUGUAGAGGUUAGGCUUGUCUCCACAUCACACCAACAGCUCAAACUCCCUCUAAGUGCUUUCCUAUGGUACAGAUAGGGGCUGCCAAGUGGCAAUGGCCUCAGCCAAAAUAGAUUUCCAAGUGGUUUGGCCUGAAGGACCCUGAUCUACUAGGUGCCAGAUUUGACCAUGAGACAUGGGGUAAAGAACCCCUUUCUGGGUUUCCCAAGAAGACAGAUAAACUUGGCCUGACACUAAUCAAAAAUCUCUGGGUUUGUAUAACACAUUUUCUCAUUUUAUUUGAUUUUUAGCCUUGUAUUUAAGUGCCUGUCACAACGACCCAUAGGAGAACAAAAGGCAACACAUGUCUACUGCAGUUUAUACUGAAUGAGUGGAAUCAUAAUCACAUGACGGUCAGGAAUGGACAAGGCCACACAUGCUGUGGCUGAUGGCAGGGACAGCCUGGGGCUCCGUGAGUGGAUUCCGUGUCCAGCACUCAUCGCUGGCCUAUACCACCUGCUGCUGUACAUAUGUUGGCUGUCCUUCCAGAGAGAAAGGGGGCUGUUUAGGGCAGAAAAUGCUGCAUCGUCAGCUGCUGACUCUCCAUUCCCGUGGAGAGAGGCGGAUGCUGAUGGUGCACGAUACAGAGAAAAGCGAUAAUUUCUUUUUCAUUUGAGAACAUGUUUUCAGGUGAGGAAUCGACCUCUUCCAUCAUACUCUGCUCUGUUUUGAAUAAAAUAAAGAGGACUGUGUAAAGGAAUGAUUUUUUUUAACCACUGCAUUAUGUCCUUUGCGUAUCAUGUCUCCUCUUAGCUAAGAACAGCAUUAUCCACUCUCCAUACGUAAAGGUACAGGGUCCGAAGUGCCGCGCACAUCUCGCAAAGCCUCGUAGCUGCAAGUGUGCCUUCCACACUCCCCUGAGCUCGUUGAUCUCCUUUGUAAGAUUCCGGAGGGCUAGGAAGAUGUCCCAGUGGGUGAGAUAUUGGAUGUGGAAGCAAAUUCGAAGAUGUCGGCUUAGAUCCCAGCACUCACGGAGAAAGCCACGUGUGGAGGACGCUCGGUAUUGCAGUUAAACCAGAUCAGCGUUUGUUCUCAGGUUCAUUUGCCGUAGUAAGGCCAACCUCGCAACAGUUAAACCUAAUUAAGGCACCUGCUGAACAUCACACAAAUUUGGAAGAGACAAAGCAAUUGCUUGACAGAGUUUCUGUAGUUGUUUGAGAAGCCACACCUCGGAGUAAUCCACAGAAAAGAGAAGGAUGGGGAACCUAGUUUCUUCCUGUCAUCUUUUCCUCCAUCAAGGUUCUUCUCAAGGUGAGUCGCCGCCCUGCACCACCCACUGUGUCUCUCAGAAAGGGGACUGAAUUCCUGAAGAUGUAGUAUUUCAUCAAAAUGUGGGUCGGGAGAUCCAUGCGUCUUCUUCCGGUUUGGUCUUCAGCUCUAGCUAGUUUGUGGUAGGAUAAAGUUGGAAGGGGUGGGAGAUCAGCAAGGGUCUAGCAAAGCCAAGAUCAUGGCCAGACAGCCAUGCAGAGCAUGCAAAAGGAUGAAGGAGGUCAAGGGAGACCAAGAAGAUUCACAAAGCUGUGCUCAUUGUAAGUCUGCCCCCGCUUCCUUCCUGAACAAUUAAAUCAGGAUGUCUGAGACUGGGCAUCAUUUGAAAGGCUCCUCAGAUUACACGGGUGUCCGGCCCAGGAGUGUGGGAGUCACUGCUUUUAGGUGUCUCCAAAAACAAACAUCUUGGUGCAAACUUCAUAUCAUAAUGUCCGUCUUUCUCCUAACUGGGAAAAAAAAAGCAAAGCUACUUAUUUAUAAGGAUAUAAUCAGAAGCUGCUGCACCCCUGAGCCUUAAAUUAUUUUGGGGCAAGCUCUGGAAGACGCAAGCAUUUUGUGACCUUGAUUUCUCACUACACAAAAGGCCACCGAAAUUCUUGAUGCAAAACAAUGAAAUUUUCCAUUAGGUUCCACUUAAGCAGCAAUUCUGCAAAGGGUAGGAGGAAACAGCAGGUUCCUCGGUCAGACUAAAUAGGUUUUGUUUGAAAAAGUAAUAAUCAGUUCACUGUCCUGGAUUUAGAGGGCACAUCCAUCCUCUGAACUAACAAUGUCAGAUUUUACUCUCGUCACAUAAAUUGUGCUCUAGCCGUGUGUAUCCAGAUGAAACCAAAACACGAAUAAAGAGACUCCUUGCGCUUUUCCUGGAAAUGCAUUUCCCAUUACACACCUUCAAUUUCCAUCUCUUGUGCUCCAUCUAUUGCGGACUGUUACAGGAAAAGGAGCAAGAAACAGCCUGGAAAAGAACUUAUUAUUGCAAGCAAAUGCAUCUUUCAUCUUGGCCCAGUAGUAUCUGAAUGCCUUGCCCCCUCAGCCUGUUUCACCACCCACAGGGUCUCUUUAGUCAGGUCAGCAAUUGAGUUAAAAAAAAUGACCAGGAGGGAUGGCAGGUCUGAAGGCUACAGGAACAGGAUGUGUAAUGUAAGCAGUACUCCGAGAGUAUGUGUUCCUGGUGGUAUCAUGUCUCCUAGCCAAUCACUUUCCCCGGCUGUAUGUGAGGUGUAGGUAGUCUUGAAAAUCUUGUUUAAUCCUUCCAGCUCAGGGAUUUGACAUUUCCAAAUGCUUGGACCACGGCCCACAUGCCUCUGUCAACAUAGACUACUGGCUUUGAAUUCUGCUUUUAUUUUUUAUUUAUUUU